rnacentral:tRNA from 1 species
GAUCUGGUAGUUUAAAUGAUAGAACACCCGACAUGUAUUCGAAGAGAUCUGGGUUCGAUUCCUAGCUUGGUCU